GGGGACUUCCGGUGCUUUACCGGAACUUGUUACUCCACCUCCAGUGUCGGAUACUGCGUGAUCCUCGCUGAAACAAUUUUAAAAUAAAAAUAAUUUUCCUACAUCUCUGCUUGAAACGAUCUACGACUGUGCUAAUAAAAGAGUUGAAACUCUCAUGAAUUUAAUUAUCGUUUACAAAUGAAAAUCGACGGAUUUUACGGAAUGAAUCGAAAGAAGACAAAUGGCGAUAUUAAUAACUCUUGCAGAGAAGAUAUAUUUGAUGCAAUAAAAUUGCCCGAAGGAAGAAGCUUCAAGGCUGAACAUACGUGAUUCGCUCGAAAACUGCACUAUUAAUUAAGGACUCGUUGCUAUUCCAUAAACGUAGCCAACAAAUCGCGGUCAUUGCCGUUCGGAACGCUUCUCGGAAUACAGAUUCAUCCUUUUUCUCUAAUGAAAUAAGAUAAUAUAGGAGAAAGUAAUUGCACAGGUAACAACGAGCUUGUAAUUACUUCGAAUAUCAUUCAAAAUUAGGUUCAAAGGAUUAAAACCCUGUCUUUCCACAAAUCACUAAUUGUACCAGUAUUUUAUUUAUAUUAUAUCGUUUUCGGAACAUAAGAAUGAUACUGUGAAAAAUUUAAAAAUAAUAUAACAUUUAAUAUAGAGUCUUAGAAUCGUGCGUUAAUUCCAGUCAUUUUUCAGAUUAGUUAUGUUAUUUAUCUAAAGAAAUAACAUAAAAUUCACAUUUUUAGAUGAUACGUAUAAGAUAAAUUUGUCUUCAACAAAAAUACUAUAUCGAUAAUUUUGUAAUCUUGUAUCUAAAGUCUACUAAGUAAAAUUAUGUUACAUUUUGAAAUCACUUAUUGUUUCAGAUAAAUCUUGAUGCGCCUUCAUCCACAAACAUUCCGGAAGUGCCAUUAAUUAAGUUUAAUUAUGGUAUAGAAAAGAGAAACCAGAUUUUGUGCUCACAUUCACGAAUUGUUUGACGAUAUAAAAACGUAUCACGAGAGGAUUUCUUAUCGAUGCGAGAUUACUUGUUAUCAAAAUAUCGUAAAGUUCGAUCAGAAGAGAAGACACUUGUGCGAUAUGUUCGUUAUGUCCGCGUUCAUGUAACGUGAAAUUUAUUGCGAGCAUUGUAUAACAUACGCGCACAAGAAAACGAGGUUCAUUCAAAGUUACCUUGAAAUCACGAAUUUCCACGCUUGUCGAUCGAACGACGUGACACGAAAUUGUUACCCAGGAAAUUAUCUUGAUUGGUCAAGAUUUUCGCUCGCCAUUUUUAAAUGUACCUUUUAACUUUCAAAACGAAAGGCUACGAAUUAACUUUGUAUCAAACUGAAAGGUGUUUGAAUUAACUUUACAGCAAAAUAAGAAAAACUUAAAAUUUCAAUAACAUCUCAAAAAUUAAAUUGCACCACUAUGGCAACUGAUUAAUUACAUAAACAAUUUUUGUCUAAAAAAAUUUUCAAACACAUCUCAACUUUCACAUUCGACUGUCAUCUCUUUCUGUGGAAUCAGUCAUUUUUUAUCUCAAUACAAGCAAAAACUCGAAGAAGUCGCAUUCGCACGUGCUUUUGAUAACUUCUGAUUAUCAAUUCCCAGUACAAAGUUUCUCAAGUAAGAAAUUUCUGUUAAUUUCAGGGUGUAUUCUCGAAUCCUCGAUUAGAUCGAUCAACGUCACAAACGAUCACUAUACAGAAGAAUAACGAGCCAGCAGAUCUGCCAAAGCAACUCAGCAUCACUUCCGGAUACCGUUGUUUGUAUAACGAUCGUACAAUUAAC